GCUUACGGCCAUACCACCCUGAACAUGCCCGAUCUCGGAAGCUAAGCAGGGUCGGCCUGGUUAGUACUUGGAUGGGAACCGCCUGGGAAUACCAGGUGCUGUAAGCU
rnacentral:rRNA from 1 species